AGAGGCAUUGUACUCCAAUGGUCA
rnacentral:siRNA from 1 species